CUCCACAUCAACUAGGUUAGCCUUGGAAAGUUCUGAUGAGUGAGAGCUAUUCACGGUUGACAAAUUUUGAGCAUUUUCAUCAUUAGCAAUCGGUGGUCUGGUAUGAAAAUUGGCAGCUGUUGAGAGGUUGGACGUUGCAGAAUGAGAAAGCUGUGAUUGCAAUUGAUAUGUACUAACAGACUCAUGGCUUGUGGUAUGAUAUAGUUCCGGAUGAGCCGAAGCAGACUGGGAGAUUGAAUUCGUUAAUGGUUGUAUACCGGCAUUCGGGUUAGUAGACAUUGCCAAUCU